CACAUCGGUUUCCCCAGAUGUCUCUGAAGCCUGUGCCUGAGGGUAUGGUUGACUUUUCCAGCUUCUGGCCUGUGAGGGUGACUCCGUCUCCCUGGGCUGACCACCUAGAUGACAAGGCACUUCUUUGAGGAUGCAUUUCAACAUCAGUGCCUGUGAUAGACCUGAAAUUUUCUCCAAAGGCACAUGGCGUUAAUAGAAGAUUGGCCCAGCCCUUAGGAAGAAGGAAAGAUCACUGGGGCUAUGCCUUAAAGGGGGUGGCAGGCUCUCUCUCCCCAUUUCCUCAAACAUGAGCUGCCCUCAAGACAGUUCCACAGAGUCAGUGGAAUCUGAUUGGCAAUCAAUAUGAUUGGCACAGGGGCUAACCAAUCAUGCUCUGGGACCUCCAAAACUGUGAGCCAAAAUGAGCCCUUUUUGCUUUAUAAGCCGAUUCAUCCCAGCUGUUUGUUAUAGUAGCACAAAGCUAAUACAGUACCAAACUGUCUUUGAUAUGCCAGAUUCUGCCUUGUUUGUAUCACAAAUUGUCUGGAACUGAGUUAAAAAUCAACUGUAGGCACAGAAACUCACAUCCCAAAUUGAAAUAUUCUUGAUUUUAAACAUCCAAUAGUUAUGGAAGAUAAUUCAGAUUUCUAAAUGGCCACAACCUUCAGAUUGGUCAAAGAGUAGUCCCAGGUCUCAGGUGUACACUGUGGUCUGAGGAGGGCUCUUUGGGCUGCCCUGUGUCACUGAUACAAAUCUAGGAGUUGCAGCUGAAGCCAUUUUCUAUGAAGAUCAUAAGAAGACAACAUGUGUUCCUGUGUGUUUCUGGUGGGGAGGCUCACAGUCCAGAAAGAAUGAACCCUCCUCUUUGAAGGCAGGGUCUCACUAUGCAGCAAAAGCUGGCUUCACAUUAGAAUCAGUUCACUGGAUCUGCUGGAGCACACCUUUAAUCCCAACACUCGCGAAGCAGAAGCAGGUAGAUCUCUAUGAGUCUGAGGGUCUACAGAGAGUUCCAUGACAGCCAAGACUACACAGAGAAACCCGUCUAGAGGAAGAAAGAAAGAAAGAAAGAAAGAAAGAAAGAAAGAAAGAAAGAAUCUGUUCAUGUGCUUCCUUCCCUUUCCUCCGACCGAUCCGCAACGAGAGCCCUCACCCAGUGGCUGAUGGAAGCAGAGACAGACAUCCACAGAAAUACACUGAGCUGAAAUCUGGAAUUUAGUUGAAGAGAGGGAGGAAUGAAGAGCGAAGGGGUCUGUACCAGGUUGGAGAAACCCACGGGAACAAUUGA
rnacentral:lncRNA from 1 species